UCAGCCAAUACAUUCUUUCCAGCAAGGCCUCUGCAGUUGUUUGGAAGUGACAGAAAGACAUAAACCCCAGCACUUCCUUUUUCCAGUGGUUAGUCAGCCUCACUGUUGCAAAUUUGUGCUUUAUUCCUAAUUAGAACUUGUCUGGCAUCAGUUUCCAGCCAGUGGUGAUGCUCAGCACAGAGGUGAAUGCCUCUUAGGUCUCUCACUCUUUCUGUCACAUAAUUGAUUUUUCAUGAAUAUCAUAAAGUAAGGCUGAAAUUAGCCUAGCAAAGCAAUAAGAAACAUGUUAGAUCAAGAAGUCUUCCUGCAUGAUAUGAAGGAUGGUAAUCGACAUGCAAUUUCUCUGUAUCACUGAUGGCUCAGACAUGCGUAAUCCAGAUCUCUGUUCCACAAAUGGGGGCUUCUAAAACCGGUGCCUCUGGAUUGCUUUAGGCUCCUCUGCAUUUAGUGGCUGCUGUUCUCUGAGGAAGGCAGUAUCAUAGAGGAGCAGGAGCAGUUCAUCCCUCUAAUCUUUCCAGCAGACAAGGCAAUGUGAAAUAAUAUGCAGUCCCAAAUUGGCAAGUUCUCUGACAAGAGAGGUUUGGCUGUGUCAAACCUGCACUUCAGUGACUUCAGAGAAGCAGCUACGUGUUUUACCUCUGCUGAACAGUGCUUGCCUCGUGACUGAGAUUCAUGGUAAAAUACUGUAGCACUCAGGACUCAGCUCAGAAUGACAGACACUGCUCCAGAGUGAUCCAGACUCUCUCCUGCAGCUGCUUUCACACGGCAGGAAAGCCAAGCUCAGCCGUGCUGGCUGCUCGCUCCGAGCACAAGUCUGUCAGCUCCGACAGCCAUGGCCAGGGCACCCUGCCCUGCAUUUGCAGUAACUAGGUCACAGAAGAAAUGGCUUUUGUGAGGGAAGGCUCCAGGCUGUGACUGCUCUGCGGGCAGCAUGGUUGUGUACAGUCAAACAAACAGCCCGUGACACUGACACAUCACUCGUGUGGCAGCUCCAUUCUGGAUGAGGUGAUUGAUUGCAGUCCCCUUUCGAGGGAUACUGGGGAUAGACGCAGUGUGGCUGCAGCCAGGCAGAUUUAAAAAAAAAUAAAAUAAAAGGUAGCUUCAAA